rnacentral:lncRNA from 1 species
CAAAUCUUACUUUGAAUCAAUAUUGAAUUCUUUUGGGAGGCUACGAAGCGUUAUGCAAGAUCAUUGUUCUGGCCAUGGAUAUUUGUAAUCUCAAAAGGAUCUAAAGAGUUUCAUGUAUUGAGGUGGAGAUGAAGAGACGCGAAAUGAUUGAAGAGAGUGUUACUGAACCAUAAUAAAUAGGAUUUACAAUAAUUUGUAUGACACUGAUUUUUUAAGGAAAUUUUACCGUAGUCAUUUCCUUGCCUACAACCCUUGUCAGUCAUUUAUGUGGAUGGCUAUUUUACCCUUUUUUUAUGCCUUUGAUGCACUGGAUAGUUUAAUUGAUUUUUUAUUUUGUUUGUCAGUCAAAUUGGUUUACCAGGAAGUUUAUUUCCUUCAGUUCAUUGUACACAAAAAAUUUUUGGUACCGCUAAUCACUAUAUUCACAAGAUACGUGAAAAUUGUGCAAAAGUAAAUCGUAUGGCAUUUAAGGCAUUUUUAACUUGGAUACAGGGCCCCCCCUCAUAUUUCUUGUUGCCAAAACCUUUAGCAAAACUGUUUUUGAGAGUCUAAUAAAGUGCAAUGGCAUUGAUCUUUUAACGACUCUUACCAGCUGAAGUUGACUAACAUCAUCAAGUGAUGCAUUCUUCAUGGUAGAAGUUAAGUCCAUAAGUUGUAUGGAAGGUACGCAAGAUUGCCUAGACUACUAUCGUGUAGAUCUACAAUCAUGAAUUGUAAGGUCUCAAUGGUAUCAAGGUCUUUUUUGUGGGUGAGGAUGUAAAAAGGGUUACCGCAAUCAAAAGUUCACCGACAUCUAUAUGGACUCCUUUCAGGACAGACGCAAUAGCCCCACUAUCGUAAUCCAAUAUAUGAUAGUUCGCUCAUUAGUCAUCAGAGAGCUGGUUUUGCGAGUCAACUUUAAGAGACUUGGACUAAAUGUCCGUCCUAGUUACCUAAAAUACAUAAACUAUGUGAGCUGAUGCUCUAUGAUUACAUCAAUCAUGUAAUGCAUGUGAGUGAUCCUCAUAGAAAAGAUUAGGUAAGCGUGGAUACCUAUCGGACAGUUGCAGGGCCGAUUCCUGUUGGUUCCUUGGCCGAAGUUUCCCAUUGUUCCGAUGGUCUUUGUGCGAUUGAUCUGAUCUGGUGGUCUAUCUUCAAGACUCCUUUCCUAGUAGACUAUGUUUCUGUCAAACUUGUCUUUUAUAUAUCCGUUUCUAUUUUUCAUUGGAGAACUUUUCCAUCAUCUAAUCAUACCUUAAAUUAUAACCAUUACUCGACUCCCAGUUCAGUUUCUCUCAAUCAGUAUAAGCUUAUCUGCAUUUCUUAACUAAACAUGUAGAGAUACUUUAAUCAGGUCUAACUUUUCUUUAAUUGAUUUGAAGUUUCUCAACAUAUUUCAUCAUAUUUGCUAUUCUCCUUGAGUACUUAAGGCUUAACUAACCUUAUCAAUGCCAGGUGCCAUCAUGCUUCUUAAGAUCCUUAGCUAAUUUUUUGAAUAGCUGCAAAAAUAUAAAAGGGUCAAUUGACCUCCCAAGUUGUCUGCAUUCUGCCUCAACUUCCGUGGGGGGAAAAUGUGUAUUUUUUGAAAUCCUCGAUUGUGAAUUAUUUCAACGUCUACCUUUAUUAUAUGAACAUAAUUAUUGAGAACUAAAAUUCCCAAUUGUCCAAUUCAUUUUAUCAUGAUACAUGUCCUUUAUUGGACACAAAGUGUUAGACCUUAUCUGAAUAGAUUAGGGUUUCCGGCGAACAAAUCUUACGAAUGAAAAUGACACUAAGACAGUGCAUAUGGCAUACUUAUAAAUUGUUCUAGACACAUAUGUAUUGACACGUAGUGAGUUUCGCCAAUUCUUAGGGCAUAGAAAGAUUGACCCAUUA